CCUACGGGUGGCAGCAGUAGGGAAUGUUCGGCAAUGGGGGGAACCCUGAACGAGCAACGCCGCGGGAAUGAAGAAGUUAUUCGUAAUGUAAAGUUCUUUUAACCGGGAAGAAAGAGCAAUUUGACGGUACCUGAAGACUAAGCUCCGGCAAACAACGUGCCAGCAGCCGGGGUAAUACGUAGGGAGCGAGCGGUAUACGGAAUUAUUGGGCGUAAAGGGGGCGUAGAUGGCAUAGGAAGUCUUUUGUAAAAAUGCGGGGCUCAACCCAGUAGGGCAAAAGAUACGGCACAGCUAGAGUAUGACAGAGGCAAGUGGAACUACCUGUGUAGCGGGUAAAUGCGUAGAUAGAUGUAAGAACACCAGUGGCGAAGGCGGCUUGCUGGGUCGAUACUGACAUGGAGGCACGAAAGCGUGGGGAUCAAACAGGAUUAGAUACCCGAGUAGUC
rnacentral:rRNA from 1 species